GACGAACGCUGGCGGCGUGCUUAACACAUGCAAGUCGAACGGAAAGGCCCUGCUUUUGUGGGGUGCUCGAGUGGCGAACGGGUGAGUAACACGUGAGUAACCUGCCCUUGACUUUGGGAUAACUUCAGGAAACUGGGGCUAAUACCGGAUAGGAGCUCCUGCUGCAUGGUGGGGGUUGGAAAGUUUCGGCGGUUGGGGAUGGACUCGCGGCUUAUCAGCUUGUUGGUGGGGUAGUGGCUUACCAAGGCUUUUACGGGUAGCCGGCCUGAGAGGGUGACCGGCCACAUUGGGACUGAGAUACGGCCCAGACUACUACGGGAGGCAGCAGUGGGGAAUAUUGCACAAUGGGCGGAAGCCUGAUGCAGCAACGCCGCGUGCGGGAUGACGGCCUUCGGGUUGUAAACCGCUUUCGCCUGUGACGAAGCGUGAGUGACGGUAAUGGGUAAAGAAGCACCGGCUAACUACGUG
rnacentral:rRNA from 1 species